rnacentral:misc_RNA from 1 species
GUGGGAGGGGGCUUGCCCCCGAUAGCAGUGUGUCAGCCAGCAUAUUUUUAUCUGAUCCACCGCCAUCGGGGGCAAGCCCCCUCCCAC